rnacentral:rRNA from 1 species
UACGAAGGGGGCUAGCGUUGCUCGGAAUCACUGGGCGUAAAGCGCACGUAGGCGGAUUUCUAAGUCAGGGGUGAAAUCCUGGAGCUCAACUCCAGAACUGCCUUUGAUACUGGGAAUCUCGAGUCCGGGAGAGGUGAGUGGAACUGCGAGUGUAGAGGUGAAAUUCGUAGAUAUUCGCAAGAACACCAGUGGCGAAGGCGGCUCACUGGCCCGAUACUGACGCUGAGGCACGAAAGCGUGGGGAGCGAACAGG